rnacentral:rRNA from 1 species
AACGAACGCUGGCGGCAGGCUUAACACAUGCAAGUCGAGCGCCCCGCAAGGGGAGCGGCAGACGGGUGAGUAACGCGUGGGAAUCUACCCAUCUCUACGGAAUAACGCAUGGAAACGUGUGCUAAUACCGUAUACGUCCUUCGGGAGAAAGAUUUAUCGGAGAUGGAUGAGCCCGCGUUGGAUUAGCUAGUUGGUGGGGUAAAGGCCUACCAAGGCGACGAUCCAUAGCUGGUCUGAGAGGAUGAACAGCCACACUGGGACUGAGACACGGCCCAGACUCCUACGGGAGGCAGCAGUGGGGAAGAUUGGACAAUGGGCGCAAGCCUGAUCCAGCCAUGCCGCGUGAGUGAUGAAGGCCCUAGGGUUGUAAAGCUCUUUCACCGGUGAAGAUAAUGACGGUAACCGGAGAAGAAGCCCCGGCUAACUUCGUGCCAGCCGCCGCCGUAAAAC